UCUUAAUAAAAGAUCAAAAAGGAAGAGGGGACAGAGAGCCUACCCCCAAGCAGCUGCCCCCUGCAUGGAUGCCCGCUGCUGGGCUUUUAGCUCACAGAGUUGAGAUGCGGGGAUAUGACUUUACCCUUGGAUUGAAUCAAAUCCCCACAGUUACCGGAGAAUGGGGGCAUCAUGGAAGCAGGAUCUGACCGUUUGGCUCUCACUUCUCCCUGCAACCCUGAAGUCAGAAAAUGCGCCGACAUUUCUGCUGCUUACGUACAUCAUCUCCUCCCUUUAUAAAGAGUCGGUCCGGCGGUUCUAGGUAGACGGAACACACCACCCAGCUCCUGGGAAAGCUAUGUUCUCAGUCGUCUGACAUAAUUAUCAAUAAGCUGAAACAUGAGGAAUCAGGAGAAUCCCUCCGGCUGUUGUCUGGAGCAUCAUCCAAUUUCGAAUGUCAAAAGCUGGACAUCACCUCUGUCUUUCUCUUUUUGUUUUCUGAAAUAAUUCUAAUCUCCC
rnacentral:lncRNA from 1 species